rnacentral:rRNA from 1 species
GAUGAACGCUGGCGGCGUGCCUAAUACAUGCAAGUCGAGCGAAUGGAUUAAGAGCUUGCUCUUAUGAAGUUAGCGGCGGACGGGUGAGUAACACGUGGGUAACCUGCCCAUAAGACUGGGAUAACUCCGGGAAACCGGGGCUAAUACCGGAUAACAUUUUGAACCGCAUGGUUCGAAAUUGAAAGGCGGCUUCGGCUGUCACUUAUGGAUGGACCCGCGUCGCAUUAGCUAGUUGGUGAGGUAACGGCUCACCAAGGCAACGAUGCGUAGCCGACCUGAGAGGGUGAUCGGCGACACUGGGACUGAGACACGGCCCAGAGUCCUGCGGGAGGCAGCAGUAGGGAAUCUUCCGCAAUGGACGAAAGUCUGACGGAGCAACGCCGCGUGAGUGAUGAAGGCUUUCGGGUCGUAAAACUCUGUUGUUAGGGAAGAACAAGUGCUAGUUGAAUAAGCUGGCACCUUGACGGUACCUAACCAGAAAGCCACGGCUAACUACGUGCCAGCCGCCGCGGUAA